AACGAACGCUGGCGGCAUGCCUAACACAUGCAAGUCGAACGAGACCUUCGGGUCUAGUGGCGCACGGGUGCGUAACGCGUGGGAACCUGCCCUUAGGUUCGGAAUAACUCCCCGAAAGGGGUGCUAAUACCGGAUAAUGUCUUCGGACCAAAGAUUUAUCGCCUUUGGAUGGGCCCGCGUUGGAUUAGCUAGUUGGUAGGGUAAAAGCCUACCAAGGCGACGAUCCAUAGCUGGUCUGAGAGGAUGAUCAGCCACACUGGGACUGGGACACGGCCCAGACUCCUACGCGAGGCAGCAGUGGGGAAUAUUGGACAAUGGGCGAAGGCCUGAUCCAGCAAUGCCGCGUGAGUGAUGAAGGCCUUAGAGUUGUAAAGCUCUUUUACCCGGGAUGAUAAUGACAGUACCGGGAGAAUAAGCCCCGGCUAACUCCGUG
rnacentral:rRNA from 1 species